rnacentral:rRNA from 1 species
UUCCCCUAGUAACGGCGAGUGAAGCGGGAAAAGCUCAAAUUUGAAAGCUUGCAGCAAUGCACGCGUUGUAAUCUCGAGAAAUGUUUUCCGCGCUGGACCAUGGACAAGUUCCUUGGAAUAGGAUGUCAUAGAGGGUGAGAACCCCGUCUUUGCCAUGGACGCCCAGUGCUUUGUGAUACAUUUUCGAAGAGUCGAGUUGUUUGGGAAUGCAGCUCAAAAUGGGUGGUAAAUUCCAUCUAAAGCUAAAUAUUGGGGAGAGACCGAUAGCAAACAAGUACCGUGAGGGAAAGAUGAAAAGCACUUUGGAAAGAGAGUUAAACAGUACGUGAAAUUGUCAAAAGGGAAGCGCUUCAAGUCAGACGUGUAACGCGGUAUUCAGCCUCACGGCGUUUUUAUCGUAUUACUGGCCAGCAUCGAUUUUGGACGACGGAUAAGGGUAUGGGGAAUGUGGCACCUUCGGGUGUGUUAUAGCCCUAUACUGGAUACGUCGCCUGGGAUCGAGGAACGCAGCGCACCCGCAAGGGCAGAUCUUCGGAUACUUUUGCGCUUAGGAUGCUGGCGUAAUGGCUUGAAGCGGCCCGUCUGAA